GACGAACGCUGGCGGCGUGCUUAACACAUGCAAGUCGAACGGACAGUCCCUGCUUUUGUGGGGUGCUCGAGUGGCGAACUGGUGAGUAACACGUGAGUUCCCUGCCCUUGACUUUGGUAUAACUUCAGGAAACUUGGGCUCAUCCCGGCUAGGAGCUCCUGCUUCAUGGUGGGGGUUGGAUAGUUUCGGUGGUUGGGGAUGGACUCGCGGCGUAUCAGCUUGUUGGUGGGGUAGUGGCUUACCAUGGCUUUGACGGGUAGCCGGCCUGAGAGGGUGACCGGCCACAUUGGGACGGGAAUACGGCACAGACUCGUACGGGAGGCAGCAGAGGGGAAUAUUGCACAAUGGGCGGAGGCCUGAUGCAGCAACGCCGCGUGCGGGAUGAGGGCAUUCGGGUUGUAAACCGCUUUCGCCUGUGACGAAGCGUGAGUGACGGUAAUGGGUAAAGAAGCACCGGCUAACUACGUG
rnacentral:rRNA from 1 species